CUGUGGAAUUCCAUGUGUAGCCAAGUGGGGAAUUUUGAUUCCUUCGCCCUAUUGGUUCCCCUGUGUUUUGGGCGGGGCUUAGUGCUGUAUAUAGGGGGUGGAUGGCUAGGUAUGGCGCUGAUGCGGCUCCUGUUGCUGGCGGCGGAGGUAGCAGCCGUGGAGUGAGUCCGCAGGAGGUUGACUGGCACAUUCGUUCUCAUCCCUUAACCAUUGAUGUGUUGGGGAGGUGGUGAAAGCAGCCCCAGCAGUGUUAUAAGUCCUCAGGCUGGUGGUUUACUGGGAAUGUGGACCUCGCCGCUGUUUUGUUUUGUCUGUCUGUCUACACGCAAUCCACAUCGGCAUAUCCUGUGGAGCACGG